ACUGCUCAGUAACACGUGGACAACCUACCCUUGGGUCUGGCAUAAUCCUGGGAAACUGGGGAUAAUUCCGGAUAGGCCACAGAUGCUGGAAUGCGCUGUGGCCGAAAGCUCCGGCGCCCAAGGAUGGGUCUGCGGCCUAUCAGGGUUGUAGUGGGUGUAAUGUACCUACUAGCCUACGACGGGUACGGGUUGUGAGAGCAAGAGCCCGGAGAUGGAUUCUGAGACACGAAUCCAGGCCCUACGGGGUGCAGCAGGCGCGAAAACUUUACAAUGCGGGAAACCGUGAUAAGGGAAUCUCGAGUGCCAGCAUAUAAUGUUGGCUGUCCAGAUGCCUAAAAAGCAUCUGUUAGCAAGGGCCGGGCAAGACCGGUGCCAGCAGCCGCGGUAAUACGAU
rnacentral:rRNA from 1 species